UACGGGGGGGGCAAGCGUUGCUCGGAAUUACUGGGCGUAAAGGGCGCGUAGGCGGAUGUCUAAGUUGGGGGUGAAAUCCCGGGGCUCAACCUCGGAAUUGCCUUCAAAACUGGAUAUCUUGAGUUCGGGAGAGGUGAGUGGAACUCCGAGUGUAGAGGUGAAAUUCGUAGAUAUUCGGAAGAACACCAGUGGCGAAGGCGACUCACUGGCCCGAUACUGACGCUGAGGCGCGAAAGCGUGGGGAGCAAACAGG
rnacentral:rRNA from 1 species